rnacentral:sRNA from 1 species
GGGCAGCCAUCGCCGAGUCCCCGUCAGGCGCGAGCCUGGGGAGCCGGGGACCCAAUCAGUCCCUGGGGUGAAUCGGAUGUCCUGCCGUACGGCAGGGGUCCGUAGGAGACCUUCCUGCUCCGAACCCGUCAGCUAACCCGGUAGGCGAGAAGGAAGGAAAGG